GCGCGGGACUGUGGCACCUGUAGCCAGUGCUCGGGCCUGCUGCUGCGGCCUGUGUUCCUGCAGGCGAUGGAGUUAGGAGCAGGGGAAUGCAACGGAACACGGAGAAGGAAGGCCCUCUAUGCGCGCCGCGCAGUUGUGUCCUUUUCAAACACUUCGGUGAAGUCUGACAUGCUUAUAAUUGUAAGGCUGGAGGUAUCGAAAGGAGAAAAGCGAGGACAGUGCAAACGGAACAAAGACAGCACCCAAAAGCUCUGUGCCAUAUAAGGACGGAACGGACAGCUCUUCCUGGAUUCCAGUCCCAGGACAUGCCCACAAACCCCGGAUGCAGACACCCUCCAUCCAGAAGGAGGAGACCUCUGGCUGUCCGUCACCCGACCCUGAGCCAAUAAAAAUUCCCUACAUGCCCCUGACGCAGCCCACUCCCCCCCUCCUCUCUGUGCUUAUAAAAACUUGCUGCCUGACCUGCUGGGCGCGAUUUCUCUGGCCUGUGUCUGUGCAGACUGGUGAACCUCACCCAGGAUUGCGCUCAAAUAAACUGCCUGGCCUUUUGUUGC